UAGAACACAUAGUAUUUUUGGUGAGAGAUUUAGCUAAAUUUGGCAGUCCAAGAUUUGUUUCGGUUCUCCGGUAACCUUGGUGAAAUCUUUCUUUUAAUAUUUUUUUCUUUCUCACUCUAGAGCCCUAAUUUUUUCUUUCAUCAACGGCAGCGCUUUUUCUUAUUACUGAUGUUCAUAUUACUGGUUUCUGAUGUCUUCUCUGGUGGAAAGUAAAAUCGGAUCAAGUUCUUGAUUUGUGGCUGCAGUGGAGGAUAUGAUGGGUAAAGAUGAUCGUGGUAUGCGGUAAUUAUCUGUCAUUUUUCUUAUUUUAUCAAAUUUAUGUGAUUUCUAUAUACUCUUUCUUCAUGUACUCUGGUCCCUGUUUUGUUUGGAUUUUGUUUCUUGAUUUUCAGUUAUUUAGUUGUUCUUGGGGUUGUUUUGUGGAAUGAGGUUUUGCAAUCAAGGAUAAUCGGAUUGUGGGUUUGUUAGUUUUCUCUGUUUUGUUGGAUUUUUGAUAUUUUGGUUUUUUAUUUUUAAAUUAUUCCAUCAACAGGUAUAACUAUAAGGAUUGUUCAUUCUUUGUUUCUCUUUUUAAUUUCAGGACAUAGAUUUGUAUCUCUUUUGUGUUCUCACAAUUUUGGAUAAAGGUCCAGUGCUGUGAUGGCAUUGACGUUGGGCUCUUAAAUCUUACACUAAAAGACCUCCAAAGUGUAUUGAUUGUAGUUGGUUUGUUUCCACUCUAUUGCUUUCUAACUCCUUUCUGGGUUUGAAUUUUCUUUGUUUAGUUUUAUUUGGUGUAUAGUGUACUGUAAUCGAUGGUUAUUCUGACUUCUCUGUUAAACAGCUUACACGAGAGGAGUUUGUUGUACAUCUUCUUUUAGAACUGUAGCGACCUAUAUUUGAAGUAGGAAUUGGAAAUUGAAAGGUACAAAUUCUUUGAGUUACCAAAUAUGAGUGAACUUUGUUAUGAUUUUGAUUUUAGUAAGUGCUUGAAAUUUUUUAGUUCGCAGACUAAUGAAGUGAGGAAGUCCUUUACCACUAAAAAAUAUGUUAUCCAUUUGUUGUGCAAAUGCAUCAACUGCAAUAUCUUAGGUUCGGGGCUGGCUUGAUAAAGCAAUUAAAAUUGUAGAACAAACCCUGAAAUGGUUUAACAAACCUUGAAGCGCAGAAGAAAUCCUCUAGGUAAUCUAUUACUUAUUACUCCCUGGGAAGUGGGAAUGAAAUUCCCAUCACACCUGGGAUAGUAGUUGAUUCUGAUUGGAAUUUUCUGUUUUGGAUUUUGAUUAGCAUGGAUUGUGCGAAACAAGUUUGUUAGGGUAAGAAUACGAAUUUCAUAGAUUCAAUUUUGAUACCAUCCAUGGAUGCUUCGAGCUUUGUUUUGGUGCCGUUGGUUUUUGUACAACUGAGUGCUUUCACUGAGUUGAACUUUUCUAUCUUUCUAGGAUAACCCGAUCAGUCAAGAUUAUGGGUGUGAUAUUGGGAGGAAAUUUGAAUUUCUUUUUGUGAAUAUCUGCUUCGAUUUUGUUUCUUUGGAAGAAAUGGACGUGAAGGAGAACAAAAUUUUGCGCAAACGGGUAUUCAUAGAAAAGAUUACAGAUCAUAUCUUCCCGAAUUGUUGGGUCUCCCAUUGUGUUUUGAAGGGAUAUAUACAUAUGUUAUGGAGAUGGACGUGAUCAGUACGGACUAAGGUUUCCUUAAUAAGGUGGCUGCAGUGUUGGCGGCAGCGGUGGUGGAAAAAAGAGGUCAAGUAAUAAAAGUUGAGGAUUGCACCUUCACUUCAGUAGUAGCUUGCGACUGCUUAUUGAUAUUAUUGGCAUCACUUGAUAUUUUUAUCACCGCUUCUCUGCUUAUUCUGGAUGUUGGUUGUCAUUUGUAUUAAUUUUAGAAUUUGAUGAAAUGUUUAUAUAGCUUGAUUAGUCUUAUUUAUACUUAUGUACGGAAUAAAUUAUACAUGUUAACAAAAUGAAAGUUAACCAAAACUGGAAA